CCAAGUGCUGGGAUUAAAGGCAUGUGCCACCACCACCUAGAUAAGAACUCUGAAUUCUUAUACUUAGGUUUUCCAAAUUAAAAGUUUAAAUAAAGAUAUUAUUUUAGUAAAAAUGAAUUAACAAAGGUUCAAUUGAAUUAGGCAGUAAAGCAUCUGGAAUAUAAAAAAUAAUUUGGGCAGGGAUUAUAACUGAGGAAAUGUGCAUGGGAGAACAGUUUUAAAAUGUCUAAAGAAUAUAAAGGCUUUUCAGUGUCAUUUCUCUCCCAUUACAGGUGACAUUAGCCACUGAUUUCUAAAGUUCAGCUGUUUAUUCAAUUGUGAGUGUCACUGCUUGGAUAUAGAAAAAUGUAUAGAUUGUCUAGAAAAGGCUAUUCAAAUGGUGACGUUUGAAGUAAGUAUGUUUAAAAGAAAGUGAGCUAUUUGGCAUAAUGAGAAGCAUGAUAAAUGGUAAUAGAGAUGUGAGUCAUAUGAGUCUUUAACUUUUUCAUCUAUUAAAGAAAGUACAGAGGCUGGAUGGCUCAGUGGUUAAAAGCACUAGCUGCUCUUCCAGAGGACCCAGGUUAGAUUCUCAGCACCAACGGGAUGGCCCACAACCGUCUGAAACUCCAGGGGAUCGGAAGCCCUCUUCUGGACUCCACCGGCACCAGGCACGCACUUGGUGCACAGAUAUACAUGCAUGGAAAUAUACAUAAGAUAAUAAGAAUAAUUUUCAAAAGGACACUCUGUUUAAAAAAGAGAGAAACUACAAGUUUUGGGUUGGGCCUUUCUUUACCGGGCAGAAAUACUCCAUUGGAUUCAGCAUCCCGUCUGUCGUGAGUACACUUCAUUAUCCACCAGAUGGCACCAUUUCCACGUCUUUGCAUGCUUCUGAGUGUGGCAGAGGGUAGUGCAGCUAGCAGCUGUUGGGUUGGAAGUCUAACAGCCAGCUAGCAAUGCACUGCCUGCCUGACACACCCACGCUUCAUCCUCUGCGGAGACAGAAGCUAGGAAGCGCCCGCCAACCAGACCACGCCACACUUCCUGCAAACACCUUCUUUGGCAAGAAUUAGUUUGCUCAAGAUCAGAAUGAAGACAGAAGGGCAAGCCCCGAACACUCACCUUGGGGGAACUUUGACUUCGCUGUUGCUUCUUGUCGUUGGCGAGCGUCCGCAUGUCAUUUUUCUUUGAAAACAGAUGAACGUGAAGGGGGAAACCUCUUUCGGAAACUCAUAAGGGGGGAGGUAUGGUAUUUUUCUGGAUCCUGAGCUUGCUGGACCACGUUCACUCACUCUUUCUAAAGCAACCGGGCACCUCCAGAGUAUAAAUUUCACACAGCACAAACUUUAAACUAGGCUGUAGACUUUCCUGACAUUUCUUGUUCCUAAGCGGGUAUUACAAACUUCACCUUCCUCAAGAAGCCCCUUCGAAGGCUUUCUUGGGCCCAGAAAGAAAAGAAUGGGACUCACGCACAGCAUCCUUCCUCGAUCCGGGUCCUCCUCCGGGGCGGUGCGCAGCAGCAGUUUCCACUCCAUCUCCAGUCCCACCCGUAAUUCUCUCCGCCUUCUUCUGAUCACUGCUGGUGACGACCGCUGGUGAAAAUUAUUGAACUUUUAACGGGUUUCCCAAGGAGCGCAUCAACUCCUCUACCUUCAAACUCAAGAAAAUGUAGGGGGGUGUCUGGGCUGCUGAGAAGGGAAAAACAUUGAACUAUCCAUUCAGUAAUUAUUAUUACCUAGGCUGCUGAGAAGGGGAAACAUUCACAUAUGCAUUCGACAAAUCAUCUGCACUGUCCACUUUGGGAACUGGUCAAGUUCCCUAGCUGGAUCUGUGAAUUACUUCCUAUACAGGAGUCUUGGGAGAGAGGAAAGAGCCAGCAAGACAAACUGAUCAGGCCCGGGACUGAAUUGGUGGCGGAAUUACUGGAGGGGCCUGACAAGGAGCCAGAUGGGCUGCGCAGCCUUGGCCGCCCAUCUGAGCUGCUAAAGAAGCACGCUGUGCCGUAACGGCAGGAAGCUCAACUGUCUGAGAAACCGGUCUAGCAGCCGGCUUCUCGCCUCUCACACCCUCAUCCCAAACUGACAUCAAUCGCAUUUUACUCUAAUCGGUUCCUUUGUGCAUUUUGGGGUAGGAGAUUCAUAGGUAUCAGGCAGAUGUUCAAACGUGUCGAUGCUUUAAACAAACACCGCUAAAUCCACUCUAGUACUUUUGAAAAUUCACUCGAAUGCUUUUGAAACAAGAAAUACUGGCCUCGCAGCCACCCAGUUCCCUGUUUUCAAUGACAAAGGUUGAAAAUGUGUGCAGGUAACCCAACCUUCAAAUGAGAUUUACCGAAAUGUUUGUAUUAAAAUAUCUUUCUUAUCCACAAGAAUUCUACUUCUCUUGCAGGGUAUUCAAAUGCUUACACACUCCAAGUCCCAGGAAAUCCUUCCCACAAACAUUGAGACCAAAAGUGAGCCAUCAUUUCAUGAGUCAGGCUAAUUUAAAUGAUCGCUUUUGAAAGUUUCAACCCAAACUAGCAAUUUAUUGAAAAUGUGAAAUUUUUAUCUGCUCUAUUCUGUUUUAAUAUUUUUACAUGUACCCAUUUUGUAGGAACAAGGGAGUCAUUGUAAAAACAAGGACCCCAUAGAUCCGUGUAAAUAUUUUUUUAAGAACCCAACGUCUUAUAAAGACUAACAGUGAAUUCUUUGCUUACAGUGUGGCUAUCUGUCACACAGUCUAAAAGUACAUAUAGACACUCGUUCCACAGUUACACAGCCCCUAAACGCCCUUUUCUUAUAUGAAACAGGAAAAUAUUAUCCAAGUGUCUUCCUCUAAAAUGUUUUUAGAGGAAUCUAAAAUCACUUUAAGAAGAUCUACUGGUGUGAUACGACUAACUGCUGGGGCAUAGCCUCAGUUCUGAAGUAUUCCUGCUCAAAAGGUAAAAUCUCCAUUUAAUGAUGAGGAGAGGAAACCUACACUGAAUGUCUACCAAAUAAUUGGCCAGUUUCACAAAAAAAAAAAAAAAAAAAAAAAGAUUGUCACCCAUUAA